rnacentral:rRNA from 1 species
UUUGAAGAGAGAGUUCAAGAGUACGUGAAACCGUUCAGGGGUAAACGGGAGAAAUCCUGAAUUCGAAAGGGGUCGGAUUCCAGCCCUACCCAGGUCGACGGGCAUCGCCUCGCCAGAUGGCGUCGGUCGCCCGCGGCGGUUCUUGCCGUUAGCGGUGUCGUUUCCGGCGAUCACUCGGCGGGGUGGCGAGUCCCACGGCUUGGUGGGCCGCACUUCCACCCUUUGUAGAAACGUCGCGACCCGUUGGGUGCCGGUCAAAGGCCCGGGAAGGCAGACCGUGUGUUCCGCGGGGGCUCCCGCGGGCGCGCGGACUCCUGGUGUCCCGGCCGUUGCUCGACGGUAUGACCAGUGGAGGCGAUCCGCUUAUUGGGAAACAUAUGGCUGUGGAGCGUCCGGCCCGGCGCCGAUGCGCGGAGGGGGUUCUGGCUGCCAUACCUCGGGUGGUCGUGUUCCUGCACGGCGCCCGCCCCUUAGCGGUCUCGGUGACCGGUGUCCUCGGACCGGAUCGAAACUCCCGUCGGCGACGCCCACCUUCGGAUGGUCUCCCGACC